AAAGUACUCCCUCCGUCCCAANAUUCUUGUCUUAGAUUUGUCUAGAUACGGAUGUAUCAAGUCACAUUUUAGUAUUAGAUACAUCCGUAUCUAGACAAAUCUAAGACAAGAAAUUUGGAACAGAGGGAGUAGUUG
rnacentral:pre_miRNA from 1 species